ACGAACGCUGGCGGCAUGCCUAACACAUGCAAGUCGAACGAGACCUUCGGGUCUAGUGGCGCACGGGUGCGUAACGCGUGGGAAUCUGCCCUCUGGUACGGAAUAACUCAGGGAAACUUGAGCUAAUACCGUAUAAUGACUUCGGUCCAAAGAUUUAUCGCCUGAGGAUGAGCCCGCGUAGGAUUAGCUAGUUGGUGAGGUAAGAGCUCACCAAGGCGACGAUCCUUAGCUGGUCUGAGAGGAUGAUCAGCCACACUGGGACUGAGACACGGCCCAGACUCCUACGGGAGGCAGCAGUGGGGAAUAUUGGACAAUGGGCGAAAGCCUGAUCCAGCAAUGCCGCGUGAGUGAUGAAGGCCUUAGGGUUGUAAAGCUCUUUUACCCGGGAUGAUAAUGACAGUACCGGGAGAAUAAGCCCCGGCUAACUCCGU
rnacentral:rRNA from 1 species